rnacentral:rRNA from 1 species
AACGAACGCUGGCGGCAUGCCUAAUACAUGCAAGUCGAACGAGCCCUUCGGGGUUAGUGGCGCACGGGUGCGUAACGCGUGGGAAUCUGCCCUUGGGUUCGGAAUAACGUCGGGAAACUGACGCUAAUACCGGAUGAUGACGAAAGUCCAAAGAUUUAUCGCCCAGGGAUGAGCCCGCGUAGGAUUAGCUAGUUGGUGAGGUAAAGGCUCACCAAGGCGACGAUCCUUAGCUGGUCUGAGAGGAUGAUCAGCCACACUGGGACUGAGACACGGCCCAGACUCCUACGGGAGGCAGCAGUAGGGAAUAUUGGACAAUGGGGGCAACCCUGAUCCAGCAAUGCCGCGGGAGUGAUGAAGGCCUUAGGGUUGUAAAGCUCUUUUACCCGGGAUGAUAAUGACAGUACCGGGAGAAUAAGCCCCGGUUAACUCCGUGCCAGCAGCCGCCGUAAUAC